UCCAACACUUCCCCCUCCCUCUCCCAUUUCCACUCUUAAUUUUUACAGAGAUCUAGUUUCAGUUUACAUAAUGAUAGUAAAGUUAACCCUACACUAAGUAAAUGAGUUCAAUAAAUAGUAUGAAGAAAAAAAAACACUGUUCUUCAAAAGAAGACAAAAGGGCUGAAAACAAUCAUCGAAUCUCAAAUGCCCAUUUCACUCCAAUACAUUGCAUUUUAGGUACUCUAAAUGAAAUGGAUUUGGAAUGUGCUUGGAUAGGUGAAAGAAUCCAUUUCAACUGGACUUACUUUCCGGCCUAAUGGACACAUAGAGAUGCGAUGAGAAUACGGAAGGGUAUGGUUUCUAGGGUCCCCUACAGCUCUGAAGGUGCCUGGGCCCGAGCCUCAAAUUCUCUCACCAGCAAUAAGCCCUGCAAUGUGGGGACACUGCUUUUCUCAGGACCCAGAUUAUGUUCUUGACAGUGGUUAUGGUUGAAUUGUGCCCCCUUCCCAAAGAUAUGUUGAAGUCCAAACCCUCAGUACUUCCGAAUGUGAGUGUAUUUGGAGACAAGGUCUUUCUAGAAGUAAUUAAGAUGGGCUCAGUAGAGUGGACACUAAUACAAUCAGACUGGUAUCCUUAAAAAAGGGGGGGAUUUGUACACAGACCGACACACAGUGACAAUACCUUGCAAACAUACCCAAGAUGGCCAAGGCCAACAAUGGACUCUUCCUUCACAGCCCUAAGAAAGAGCCAGUUCUAUGGACUCCCAGCUUCCAGACCUGUGGCACAACAGAUAGGUGUUGUUUACACCACCCUUUGUUAUAGUGGCAAUCAGAAAUGAAUACAGUAGGUAGAGUGGGCCUCCAUUUUCAAUUUUCAUUCUUGUCUUUUCUUAAUAGGUGGCUUCUAGAAAUGGAAGAAGGGAGAGAAGGCGAGUGAGAAUGGGCUUUAUGAAGGGACUGUACAGAGCACACAGCAAGUCUCCUCAGCUUGAUGAUUCAUGGCUGUGGCACCAGCCACCCUAGGAGACGUGGCUGCAGUAAUUUACAUUCCCACCAGCAGUGUAUUGAAUUUGAGACACACAGAGAGAGUGGUCUUCUGUCUACUAAUUGACUUUCCAAAUGGCUGCAAUGACCAGAGCUGGGCCGAUCUGAAGCCAGGAGCCAAGAACUUCUUCCGAGUCUUCCACAUGGGUGCAGGGGCCCAAGGAAAUGGGACACCCUCUGCAGCAAAUUUCCACUGUUUGCCACUGAGCAAUCAACAGUGCACAGACUUGGGUCUUCCUGGAGCCCUGGAGGUUGGCUGGAUUGACAAGCACCUGCCUCUGAUGUGGGUAUGCAAGGUAAGUGUGUCAUUUGUGAUUGUUACCAAACUGAAUCCUACUCUCAAAUCAAGCACUGGCAUCAUUUACUGACCCCUAUCUUUGGAUUCUUCUAGGAAGAUUCCAUUGCCGUGCUUGUAGGAAAAUACUUCAGGGGAAAUUUGAAGUGUGGCCCAUACUUCCUCUGGCUAACUGGUCACACUGAAUUAUGAGUACUAAUCCUUCUAAGGUAAAAUUCACAUUGAGCACAUUGCAAACAAAGAAGAUGAAGCACAAAGAAAGUGAGGCAACUGGUCCAAAGUGAAACGCCUCAGAAGUGGCUGAACUGAGACCUGAGCUUAGACUAUUUCUCAGGUCAGUGUUUCUUUCACUCCCUCACUGUAGCAUGCACUUUGCCUGUGAAGCCAGCAUACAAAUGGCACUCAUAGGAAUCACAUUGGGGAAGGGGAGUGGCCAAAUUGUGCUUGGUCUUUUGCUUUGUAUUGCACAUUUGCUCAAGUGGGAUGGGGACAGGCUGCUUUGGUUUUAAGCUCUUUAAGAGAGAUUAUCUUCCCUAAAUUUAUCUGUACCUUCUGUGGAUCAACUAAGCAUGCUCUCUAGUCUUGGGAAUUUGAAUCAGAGUACUUUGAUCUUCACUAAGAAGACCUGACUUAGUGAAAUUUUUAUCUAAAAUUGUAGAACUUCAGAGCUCAAAGAGAAUAGAAAUCACUAAUCCAGUUUCCUCAGUCAGCAGGUAAGGGGACUGAGGCUUAGAAGGGAAUAACUCAAUCAAGGACACAGCUAGUUAAUGGCAUAAAAGAUCUGCUGGGGCCAUGACCUUGCUUCAGGUUUCAGAAGAGCAGCUUUGGGGCCGAGGGAGCAGAUUUUCCCUGUAAGUACUCAAGGUUUGGGAACAGGACCCACACCAGACUUGCUUGGCUCUGAUCAAGCUGCCCACUUUUUUUUCUGAGUUUCCUUGGAUUUAGAGGUAUGCAAGCAGGAGAAGUCUCUCAGUAAAGCUCACGACUGGGCAGGGAAUCAUGACCCACCACUUAGGUGCCUUGUGACACUGGACAAAUGUCUUAACCACGGUUUGUGUCUAUGAUUCCCCUCUUACUUACAAGAUGGGUGUAAUACUUGCCUUGGGACUAUGAAGUUCAGGAACAACAUACACUAGGGAUUUUCAAAAUGUCCAUGAAAAAUGUGUAUUAUGAACAAACUGUGCAUGGAUUUCCCCCCAAAAUUGCAUCAAAAUAAAUUUAUAUUUUAAUUCCAUGAUCAUGAACUUCUAAAAAUACCCAUGAAUGUGUAUGUAAAUAUAUAUAUAUGUUUUAUAUAUAUAUAUAUGUUUGUGUGUGUAUGUUGUCUAUCAAAAUAUGUACCUACUAAUAUAGAGAGAGGAGAGAAAGACUAUGUGGAGACAACCUUCAUAAAUGGGCAUCCCAUGAAGUCCACAGGACAGCUCCCUCUUGUCAUUGUUACCAUUAUCCUUCAUUUUGCAAAUGUCACUGGAAACCAAGAGGUGUUGACAUCAGCACUGAAAUCUAGCAGGGUGCUGGACCUGUAUAAAGAAAAUGCCAUCCACUGUCAGGGAUGUUACAAGGAUUGAGUGAAGAAAAUACGAAAACACACCUGUCUUGGAGUCUGGCACAGAGGAGACUUUCAGAAAAGUGUGAUGAAUCAAACAUUUGUGGAAUGAACAGAAGAAAUCUCUGAGUGCAUCAGUGGCCAAUAUGGCCCACGUACUCAAUGAGAUGAACAAGGGUGUCUAUGAAGAUUUCCAUCAUCUACAUAACUUUGGAUCUCUGGGCUCAUAUUUAAGAUCCUUCAGUGAGUUGGAGAGCCUAGCAAAGAGAAGACAGCAUUCCAUUCAAGGGUUCUAUUGGCGUACCAACUGAACUUGGCUGACAAUUAAAUAUGGGCACAGAUUGGUCUUUUCCUAUUUUUCUCCUGAGACUUGGCAGUUUGUCUGACUGAAACUAGAAGCCCAGAUGGCACUGGAACUAAUUGGAGUCUUCCCGGGGUGCUGUGUCCUCAGGUUAGUAGAUGACCACAGUGGUUACAUAAUGGCGGACCAACUUGGGAGUUCCAGCUACUCAGGUCUCCAGCCAAAGGCCUGGCACCAAGAUGGUAGUUAACAAACAUUUGGUGAAUGAAUCCAAUUAGAGCCUCAUGGAUUAUUGAGGAUCCUGAAUUUUUGUCUGCGUGAAUUAUACCUACUGCUAUUUAACAUAAUAGAAAUGAGGAAAAUUUUAAUGUAUUUCUUUAUUAAUUUAUGAAUACCAUUUUUAUGACCAUAAUGGUACUUUCUAAGACAAAGAAGUGCAUGAGAAGAGUGGCAACAUUUUUAAAAAUUUUACAUUUUUAUAUAAAAUAUGUGUGUUAUAGAUUGGCUGUGCCAUCUCUUCUUCCACUCCUUUUCAUAUCCACGGAGAGCUGUUUCUGUAGUUUGCUCCAUUAGCUUGAGUUUCUUUUUUUAUUUAGUGGAAUUUAUUAAUACAUUAAAUUCUCAGGGUCAGAGCAAAUGCAUGAUAAUUACUAUAACACAAUUCCCAUCAAGUCUCAUAUUAAUGUGAUAUUAAUAUAAAGAACAGAUUCAAUAUAGUUCUUACAUACAAUUCUGACAAUAUAAUGAUACUUCUAAUCCUCUCUCGCUUCCUUCCUCCAUCCCUCUGUAUCUAUCUCCCUCCCUCCUUCCUUCCUUCCUUUCUUAAUUUUUGAGAGAAUAUAGUUUUAAUUUACAUUAUAAUCAGAGGCUUCAUGCUCCACUAAAAGCCUAAGUGUUCAGUUUUGUUUUUCUUUUUCAAAAUAUUUGGUUAUUCU